ACACUUUGACAACAGGUUCAGAACCAAGCAAGAAGAAGAAGAAGAAAAAACUCACCUGCUAUUGCUUCCUCUAUUGACCCUUCUGGGCUGCAGUGGAAGGCAGCAGGUCUUUCCUUAGACCUCCAACCCACCUCUCCAGCUGGCCUCCCUUGCACUGAAAAAGGUAAGGGUGGGCCGGUUUCUGGGGAGGCUUGCAUAUGCCCUUUUAUUCCAGGUCCUGCCCACCCUACACACACACACACACACACACACACACACACACACACACACACACACAUAUACACAUCACUCCCCUAGAAUGGAGAGGCAGGGACCAAUGGGACCAGAGGGCCUGGGCCAACCUUGGCACAUUGGGUAGAAGUUGGAAAGUCAGGGGAAGACUUCACUGUUUUUGUUUUGAGACAGGAUCUCGCUCUGUC
rnacentral:lncRNA from 10 species